rnacentral:rRNA from 1 species
GCGGCAUUUAACCAUUACGCCAGCAUCCUUGACAAAAGUCGCAAUCCUCAGUCCCAGCUGGCUGUAUUCCCACGGGCUAUAACACUCUACCGAAGCAGAGCCACAUUCCCGAGGAUUUAUCCAACCGCUAAAACUGAUGCUGGCCCAGCGAAAGCCGAAGCAAACGCCAUGUCUGAUCAAAUGCCCUUCCCUUUCAACAAUUUCACGUACUUUUUCACUCUCUUUUCAAAGUUCUUUUCAUCUUUCCAUCACUGUACUUGUUCGCUAUCGGUCUCUCGCCAAUAUUUAGCUUUAGAUGGAAUUUACCACCCACUUAGAGCUGCAUUCCCAAACAACUCGACUCGUCGAAAGCACUUUACAAAUAACUGGGAUCCUCGCCACACGGGAUUCUCACCCUCUAUGACGUCCUGUUCCAAGGAACAUAGACAAGGACCAGCUACAAAGUUGCCUUCUUCAAAUUACAACUCGGACGUCGAAGACGCCAGAUUUCAAAUUUGAGCUUUUGCCGCUUCACUCGCCGUUACUAAGGCAAUCCCGGUUGGUUUCUUUUCCUCCGC